UCCCUGGUGGUCCAGUAGCUAAGAUUCUGCACUCCCAAUGCAGGGGGCCUGGGUCCAACCCAUGGUCAGGGAA
rfam:Ovis aries breed Texel chromosome 2, whole genome shotgun sequence.